AAGGAGAGUAAAUCUCAAAAACAUUAUAUAAUGAAUUGUUUUUAAAUAUAAAAUUAAUUCUAUCUUUCAGUAUGAUUACUUGGGCUCUGAUAGCACGAUAGUAACAAAUAAAAUCUUUGAAAUUAUCAGCCUUGUAAAUUCGGUAAGUAUUUUUAUUUUUGUAUCAAAUAAUUUUUUUGUCUUGAAAUUUUCAUUCAUGGGGGCUGGGAUUGUGGCUCAGUCAGUAGUAGAGUACUUGCCUAGCAUGUGUGAGGCACUGGGUUCGAUCCUCAGAACCACAUAAAAAUAAUUAAAAUAAAGGUAUUGUGUUCAUCUACAACUAAAAAAAUAUUUAAAAAAUUUUUUUUCAUUCAUGUUAACUUGAUGUAUUUCUGGGUAAUUAAAUCAUCCAUUUAAAUUGAGUAUGGAUUUGUAAAAAUAUUGAAAUAAUUUCUUGUUAUAAAUUAACAUAAAGAUUAAUUUUCAUAUAUUUAUUUCUUCUGCUUUAGGCAUUUACUCAAUUGAAAGUUACUAUUGUGCUGACAUCAUUGGAGUUGUGGUCAGAUAAAAAUAAGAUUUCUACAGUUGGCAAAGCAGAUGAAUUAUUGCGUAGAUUUUUAGAAUGGAUGCGGUCUUAUCUUACCUUAAGGCCUCAUGAUGCUGUAUAUCUAUUCAUGUAAGGAUGAUGUUUCAGUAUUCCUAGAAAGAAAAGGAAUAUCUGUGAUUGUGAUGUAGCUUAACUGAGGGACUUGGUAUUCAUUUCUGACUACUCAGACUUUCAUUAUUCAUUAUGUGAUCUCUUUCUGUUUGUCAAGCAGCAAAAAAGAUUACUAGCAUUUAUUUCUGAGCAUAUCAAAUUAAGAUAAGAUUUAAAGAGGUUAAGCUAUCUCAGGACUCUCACCCAGUGGGUAUAUCUAGGUUUUGAACUUAGUUUGUAACUCCAGUGCCCAAACAGCCACUACAUUAAGAGAUGGGAGUUGUAAGUUUAUAUCUUGAUAUAAACUUGAUCAAAACUUGGAAAAAUAGGUUACAAAUAUUUUUUUCUAAUAAAUUUUUUGCAUUAUUUUAAAAUUAUUUUAAAGUUGGCACUUUAACAUUUCCUUUUGCAUGCAUAAGAUUCAUCUUUCCCUCAUGUAUCAGUCGGCAAUAAAUGUUGUUACUCCUUUAAUUUUUGGUCAUCUGAAGAACAUAAAGUAAUGCCAUUACAUAACAUCUUAGUUUCCUUUUUUUCUGAUGACUAGUGGAUUUCAACAUCUUUCAUGUGCUUCUUGAUCACUUGCCUCUGUUCUUUUGUAAUUGCCUUUUCAUGCCAUUUGAGUGUUUCUUUAUAAUUUGUGAGGAUGUUUUGAAUGUUUAGAUAUCAAACUUUUGUUUAUGAGCAUGACAGAUAAUUUUGUAUAUCUAUAAUAAUUUUGCUCCAGUAUUACUUUUACAUUUCAUAUGGUUAACAUUGCUAAUAUUUUAUUUUUUAAAUUUGGGUUUUCUGUAUGAUGGAAAAGCUCUCUCCAUGUUCUAGAUUUUAGUCUGCUAUUUUUUUAGAAUUAAUAAUAUUGAAGUUUAUAAUUUAAGUCUUUAAUCCAAAUUCAGCUAUUUUUUGAAAGUACAAAAUAGAGGUACACUUUUGUUUUCUGUCAUAUGACAGAAGGCAUUGCCUGUGUGUGCCUAUGUGUUGGAGUGUUGAUCCUAUGUUUUCUUCUAGCAGUUGUAAAAUUUUGGGUUUGAUUCCUAGGUCUUUGAUCUAUUUUGAUGUUACUCAUAUUUGAAUGAGUUGAUUGUUCUGUGCCCAUGCCAACUCUCCACAAAAUGAUCGUGUCAAGGGGUGAGUGUAGAGGGAACAGGGUAACUUCCCAGGUUUGUCUGUUUUAAGGCUUUGUCUUUUGUUGUUUCUGUGUUGAAUGUUCUUCAAAGUAUGCUUCCAUUGCUUGCUAGUAUUUUUUUUAAACUCUCUAUGCCUGUACUAAUAUUUUCACUCAUUCUCCCCGCCCAUGACUAACUUCUUUCAAGUACAUACCUCUUGCCUUCCAAUGUGAUCUUCUUCUUCUUGGAAAUUUUAUUUUUGUUGGAGUUGUCUGAUAUUUGCAAUAACUGAAACUUUCUGUCUACUUUCCAUGUCUUCUUUUUUUCUGCUUCCUUUUUGUUGAUUUGAAUACUUUUAUAGUUUAAGCAUAAUAUUUGUAACAUUGAAAUACCAUUUAAUUAAUCUCAUUAUUAAUUUAAAAUUUAAUUAAAUUAUUAAUUUUAAAGUUGUGCUUUAAAAAAUAUUUUAUGGGGCUGAGGUAAAGUUAUAUAUUACUUGACUAUGUGUGUUUUUGAUUCUAAAAAUUGCUAAAACUUUCUUGGUAAUAUUUCUCUAUGUCACUUAUACAUAAAUACCUCUUUUUAUCUUUGAAGAUAAAUAAAGAUAUUUAUCUUUAUUUUAUUCUUUAUUUAUCUUUGAAGAUAAGUAAAGAAUAUUUCCAAGUAAAUUUAGUAUGCAUUUAUGGGAUGGUAUCAAACUAAAAAGCUUCUUCACAGCAAAGGAAAUAAUCAAGAAUGUGAACAGAGUGCCUACAGAAUGGGGGAAAAUCUUUCCCAACCGCAUCUUAGAACAUUAAUCUCUAGGAUAUACAAAGAACUCAAAAAACUCAACACCAACAUAAAUAAAUAAAUAAAUAAUAAAUAAAUAAAUAAAUAAAAACAACCCAAUCAACAAAUGGGCUAAGGAACUGAACAGGCACUUCAUAGAAGAAAUACAAAUGGUCAAAAAAUAUAGGAAAAAAUGUUCAACAUCUUUAGCAAUUAGAGAAAUGCAAAUCAAAACUACAUGGAGAUUCCAUCUCACCCCAGUCAGAAGGGCAACUAUCAAGAAUACAAGCAAGGGGGCUGGGGAUGUGGCUCAAGCGGUAGCGCGCUCGCCUGGCAUGCGUGCGGCCC
rnacentral:lncRNA from 1 species